AAGUCAACUUUCACUCAGUCAUUACUGUCACAACUUGACCAGAGAUUAAGUUUAUCACUUCAAGGCUUGAAUGUGCACAUUUUCCUUACCAGAAAUACUCAACAUAUGGCAGUAAAACUCUUGUACGUGGAUCAGUGGUACUGAAAUCAAACAAGGGGGUGCUUGUGAAUGGGUAUGGGCUUAGGUCGCUUUAAGAAAUAUUCUUUAAAUUUUCCUGCCAGGGACACCGGAUAUACUUAAUAACACAGUUCACUUGUACAGACAUCAGCGCGGUUAUAAGACAAGUGUAUAGUACUAUGACAUGUAAUGCAUGUAUAUAUAAAAUAUAUA